rnacentral:rRNA from 1 species
UUAAGCGACUAAGCGUACACGGUGGAUGCCCUGGCAGUCAGAGGCGAUGAAGGACGUGCUAAUCUGCGAUAAGCGUCGGUAAGGUGAUAUGAACCGUUAUAACCGGCGAUUUCCGAAUGGGGAAACCCAGUGUGAUUCGUCACACUAUCAUUAACUGAAUCCAUAGGUUAAUGAGGCGAACCGGGGGAACUGAAACAUCUAAGUACCCCGAGGAAAAGAAAUCAACCGAGAUUCCCCCAGUAGCGGCGAGCGAACGGGGAGCAGCCCAGAGCCUGAAUCAGUGUGUGUGUUAGUGGAAGCGUCUGGAAAGGCGUGCGAUACAGGGUGACAGCCCCGUACACAAAAAUGCACAUAUUGUGAGCUCGAUGAGUAGGGCGGGACACGUGGUAUCCUGUCUGAAUAUGGGGGGACCAUCCUCCAAGGCUAAAUACUCCUGACUGACCGAUAGUGAACCAGUACCGUGAGGGAAAGGCGAAAAGAACCCCGGCGAGGGGAGUGAAAAAGAACCUGAAACCGUGUACGUACAAGCAGUGGGAGCACGCUUAGGCGUGUGACUGCGUACCUUUUGUAUAAUGGGUCAGCGACUUAUAUUCUGUAGCAAGGUUAACCGAAUAGGGGAGCCGAAGGGAAACCGAGUCUUAACUGGGCGUUAAGUUGCAGGGUAUAGACCCGAAACCCGGUGAUCUAGCCAUGGGCAGGUUGAAGGUUGGGUAACACUAACUGGAGGACCGAACCGACUAAUGUUGAAAAAUUAGCGGAUGACUUGUGGCUGGGGUGAAAGGCCAAUCAAACCGGGAGAUAGCUGGUUCUCCCCGAAAGCUAUUUAGGUAGCGCCUCGUGAAUUCAUCUCCGGGGGUAGAGCACUGUUUCGGCAAGGGGGUCAUCCCGACUUACCAACCCGAUGCAAACUGCGAAUACCGGAGAAUGUUAUCACGGGAGACACACGGCGGGUGCUAACGUCCGUCGUGAAGAGGGAAACAACCCAGACCGCCAGCUAAGGUCCCAAAGUCAUGGUUAAGUGGGAAACGAUGUGGGAAGGCCCAGACAGCCAGGAUGUUGGCUUAGAAGCAGCCAUCAUUUAAAGAAAGCGUAAUAGCUCACUGGUCGAGUCGGCCUGCGCGGAAGAUGUAACGGGGCUAAACCAUGCACCGAAGCUGCGGCAGCGACACUAUGUGUUGUUGGGUAGGGGAGCGUUCUGUAAGCCUGUGAAGGUGUACUGUGAGGUAUGCUGGAGGUAUCAGAAGUGCGAAUGCUGACAUAAGUAACGAUAAAGCGGGUGAAAAGCCCGCUCGCCGGAAGACCAAGGGUUCCUGUCCAACGUUAAUCGGGGCAGGGUGAGUCGACUCCUAAGGCGAGGCCGAAAGGCGUAGUCGAUGGGAAACAGGUUAAUAUUCCUGUACUUGGUGUUACUGCGAAGGGGGGACGGAGAAGGCUAUGUUGGCCGGGCGACGGUUGUCCCGGUUUAAGCGUGUAGGCUGGUUUUCCAGGCAAAUCCGGAAAACUAAGGCUGAGGCGUGAUGACGAGGCACUACGGUGCUGAAGCAACAAAUGCCCUGCUUCCAGGAAAAGCCUCUAAGCAUCAGGUAACAUCAAAUCGUACCCCAAACCGACACAGGUGGUCAGGUAGAGAAUACCAAGGCGCUUGAGAGAACUCGGGUGAAGGAACUAGGCAAAAUGGUGCCGUAACUUCGGGAGAAGGCACGCUGAUAUGUAGGUGAAGUCCCUCGCGGAUGGAGCUGAAAUCAGUCGAAGAUACCAGCUGGCUGCAACUGUUUAUUAAAAACACAGCACUGUGCAAACACGAAAGUGGACGUAUACGGUGUGACGCCUGCCCGGUGCCGGAAGGUUAAUUGAUGGGGUCAGCGCAAGCGAAGCUCUUGAUCGAAGCCCCGGUAAACGGCGGCCGUAACUAUAACGGUCCUAAGGUAGCGAAAUUCCUUGUCGGGUAAGUUCCGACCUGCACGAAUGGCGUAAUGAUGGCCAGGCUGUCUCCACCCGAGACUCAGUGAAAUUGAACUCGCUGUGAAGAUGCAGUGUACCCGCGGCAAGACGGAAAGACCCCGUGAACCUUUACUAUAGCUUGACACUGAACAUUGAGCCUUGAUGUGUAGGAUAGGUGGGAGGCUUUGAAGUGUGGACGCCAGUCUGCAUGGAGCCGACCUUGAAAUACCACCCUUUAAUGUUUGAUGUUCUAACGUUGACCCGUAAUCCGGGUUGCGGACAGUGUCUGGUGGGUAGUUUGACUGGGGCGGUCUCCUCCUAAAGAGUAACGGAGGAGCACGAAGGUUGGCUAAUCCUGGUCGGACAUCAGGAGGUUAGUGCAAUGGCAUAAGCCAGCUUGACUGCGAGCGUGACGGCGCGAGCAGGUGCGAAAGCAGGUCAUAGUGAUCCGGUGGUUCUGAAUGGAAGGGCCAUCGCUCAACGGAUAAAAGGUACUCCGGGGAUAACAGGCUGAUACCGCCCAAGAGUUCAUAUCGACGGCGGUGUUUGGCACCUCGAUGUCGGCUCAUCACAUCCUGGGGCUGAAGUAGGUCCCAAGGGUAUGGCUGUUCGCCAUUUAAAGUGGUACGCGAGCUGGGUUUAGAACGUCGUGAGACAGUUCGGUCCCUAUCUGCCGUGGGCGCUGGAGAACUGAGGGGGGCUGCUCCUAGUACGAGAGGACCGGAGUGGACGCAUCACUGGUGUUCGGGUUGUCAUGCCAAUGGCACUGCCCGGUAGCUAAAUGCGGAAGAGAUAAGUGCUGAAAGCAUCUAAGCACGAAACUUGCCCCGAGAUGAGUUCUCCCUGACUCCUUGAGAGUCCUGAAGGAACGUUGAAGACGACGACGUUGAUAGGUCGGGUGUGUAAGCGCAGCGAUGCGUUGAGCUAACCGGUACUAAUGAACCGUGAGGCUUAACCUU